rnacentral:lncRNA from 1 species
UCAUACAUACUAAGCCUUAGAUACAAUGCCUGUUGAGCUUGUUGAGCUUCUUCUCAGUUUCAAGGGCCUGGUGGGUGGUAGGGGCUGUGUGGUGGACUGUAUGGACUUUUAUAUAUUUUGGGGCUGGGUGGUGGAUAGUGUGGGCUUUUAUAUAUUUUGGGGCUGGGUGGUGGACUGUAUGGGCUUUUAUAUAUUUUGGGGCUGGGUGGUGGAUUGUGUGGCCUUUUAUAUAUUUUGGGGCUGGGAGGUGGAAUGCGUGGGCUUUUAUAUAUUUUGGGGCUGGGUGGUGGACUGUGUGGGCUUUUAUAUAUUUUGGGGCUGGGUGGUGGAUUGUGUGGGCUUUUAUAUAUUUUGGGGCUGGGAGGUGCAAUGUGUGGGCUUUUAUAUAUUUUGGGGCUGGGAGGUGGAAUGUGUGGGCUUUUAUAUAUUUUGGGGCUGGGUGGACUUUUAUGCAUUCUUUUACAGUCCCUUGAUCCGGGAUUGCACAUGCUUGUAGAUGGUGGAUCAGGUAAAUUCCCUGCUAUAAAGCCCACCUUAUCGCUACUCAUUUCUUCUGCAACAUCCAUGCCAAAUAUUAUCAUAAAUCACAAAGAGGCAAAAACAGCAGCCCAUGCAUGACAGUAUAUUAAAUGGGAAAAUUGUGUACUAGCCUCCAAUCAUAUCCAUUUGAAGUUUCAAGAACAGAAACUUAGUAGGACAUUUGAUCUUAUUCAACUAUUCAAAUCCACGUAAGUAAGCAUGCGCAUGUAUAGUUAAUUACUUGCAUGAAUAUUAAAUGCAUGUAGGGAAAGAAAUUACCA